UACGAAGGGGGCAAGCGUUGGUCGGGUUUACUGGGCGUAAAGGGCGCGUGGGCGGAUCUGCAAGUCAGAGGUGAAAGCCCUGGGCUCAACCCGGGAAUGGCCUUUGAGACUGCAAGUCUUGAGUGCGAGAGAGGGUGGCGGAAUACCCAGUGUAGAGGUGAAAUUCGUAGAUAUUGGGUAGAACACCGGUGGCGAAGGCGGCCACCUGGCUCGCAACUGACGCUGAGGCGCGAAAGCGUGGGGAGCAAACAGG
rnacentral:rRNA from 1 species